GCCGAUCCGCGCUCCUCUCGGCCGCGGCCCCGCGCCCAGGGGGCGGUCGCCACCACUCCGCACCCGCCUGGGGACGGACUCAGAAGCGGAGUCACCGUCCCCAGGGCUAGCGCCCGCAAGCCGCCCCAGAGGAAGAUAAGCCAAGGGGCCGGGACCAAAAUUGGGAGGAAGUUGAAAGUACGCCUGGUGGGUGUGAGGAACCGAACCAGGCGCGCCGCUGAGCUGCCUGUUGCAUUGUCGGCUUUGAUUCGGUUGCCAGCAUUUCGCCUUUUCCUGUGUCAACACCAGAACGGCUAACCACUCGUUACAGCAAGCAAGCAAGAAUGAAAAGAAAAAAGAGAAAGAAAUGUUCCUGAUGUGUGGAAUUGUGUUUGUGAACACAGCUGGAAAGCACCCCACGGCGGCUCUCCACUCAAGAUCGGCCCUGAGAGAAAAUUCUGCUCAGGAUUAAUCUUUUCAUGUUAACUGUGCAGAGCACAUUUGGAAAGACCCAUUCCUGGUAAAGUGUAUUACUAAAUGGCCAGUUUUAGAAACUAGGGCUGACAAACGUGUCACAGUUGCAGACUCCUGAAAAUGGGCUGGUGUUUAAAACAACAACAAAAAAUCCAGUUUGAUGGUCGAAAGGGGGUAAUUCUAUUCUGUGAGGAAGGUCAUAGUCACUUGGGGACGGGAGGAAGACUGGGAGGUGGAAGGAUCUGCAUAGGGAACAGGCAAGGGGAAAAAGUCAUUAGGGUGGAAGAAAGAAAAAAUUACCUGUUGAAGAACACAUCUUACUCGCCAUGAAUAUGUUAGCUCACCUUGAUACUUGGUCUGGGAAUUGGAAUGGAGAUGGGGCUCCCAAAGGACAAGUUCACAGGGAGUCUAUUUUUCUCAAAUAAGGAGUUCAGCAGUCACAGGUAGGUGGGCUUCUCAGGACCCACCUCCUUCUGUUCUCCAGCCCUUUAUUCCUAGCAUACCAGCUUUCAGUCUACAUGUUCUUUCCCCAUGUAGUCACCAGUCAGGAUUCAACCAGAGAAAAAGAACCACUAUAAGUGAUGAAGAACGACAGAUUUAUUGUUAGGCACCAGAUCUGUGCUGUUCAACAUAGUAGCCACUAGCCACAUGUGGCAGUGUAAAUGAAUUAAGAUGAACUGAGAGUAAAAAUGUAGUUUCUCGGUUGCACUAGGUACACUUCAAGUGCUUGAUAGCCACAUGCAUGUGGCUAGUGGCUAUCGUUGGGCAGCUCAUAUACAAAACAUUUCCAUCAUCACAGAAGUUCUAUUGGAGAAUGAGGCAUCGGACCUUACAUGAUUGUGAGAGCUCAUUGAGAAGUCUGUUCAAAGCUGUUUGAGGUCUUUGAUUCUAGUGUUGAAUGUGAAAUCACCAUAGGUCAGACAGAAUGGCAGUCAGGGUAGAAAGCUAGACCUGGAUAAAAGCAAGUACAGGCUUGGAACCUGCAGGGGCUAACUGGAAUUCAUGAAAAACUAGAAUCCUCUAAGACAGACUGGAUUUGUGUGUGUCCCUCACUACCUCUGACCUUGAUAACAGGCAUACUGCAGAAGAAGCUGGCAUCCUUCAUGGGGCUGCACAUGCACUUGGCUUAGGACACGGAGAAACUGAAGGAGGACACCCGACCAGCAAGGUGAGCCAGCAGAUGAGUGACAAUGUACUAGAGUCACCACUGUGCCUGGAGCCCUUGCAUUGUCCUUCAGAGCAUGAAAACCAUGGCUGCUGCUUCGCCGCUGCCCUCUCAAUCACAUACAGCACUUCUCUUGUGGCUAAUGCUAACCUUGAAACCGUGCAGAAUUCUGGAGAACAGAUCCUGCUCAGCUGAGUUGACCCACUAUAAAGUUACCACACUGCCCCGUGGGUCCAGGCAUGAAGUCUGCAUUGAAAGAGGAAGGUGAGAAAGAGGCAGCUCCUGUGAGCUCUCUCUUGUGCCUGUUUCUUUCAUCAUGAAAGCUAGUUUUCUAGAAACACCUCGGUAGACUUCCCUUUGUGUCUCUUUAGCCAGAACGUGGUAAAUUGGCCACUCCUUAGCUCCAUAGGAAGCUGAGACGAGGGUAUUGGGCAUUUCCAGCUUCUUCCAGAGUAGAGACAGGCAGGGGAAAACGGGCUGGGAGUGGCAUUGGGUUAGUCAGCCUCUUGUCCACUGUUGUGCACAGUGCAUUCCCUACUAUCCCCUCUGUGGAGCCUGAAAGGAAGGGCAAGAACACCCAUUCCAAGUUGCACCCAUUGCAUUUGAAGAAACUGAGGCACAGAAAAGUUGAUGAUCUUACCCAAGGACAUACAAAGUUAGUGCAAAGCUAGGCGUAUGGAAGCCAGACCGCCUCAAUUACAUUACAGACCCCUGCAUAUUGCACACAUUGUCCAUUUAAGGCCAGAAAGGAGUACAUGGCAAGAUACCCAUCCUCAAUACUGCAUUAGAGCUCCCUGGCAAAUCACCCAACACAAUUUAGAUGUUACUUUUUGCCUGACAUAUUGGUGAAAUUUGAAAAGAUUACACAUAUCCAGUAUGACCAGAGAGAGAAAGAGAGAGAGAGAGAGAGAGAGAGAGAGAGAGAGAGAGAGAGAGAGAGAGAGAAAUGGGCUUACUAUUGGUGGAAGUGUGAGUGUGGCUACAGCCUUCUUGGUGAGAAUGGUCUGUUAAUUAUCACAAAUUUUGAAUAUGCUUCAGCCCAGAAAUAAUGUUAAAGAAAUGUACUGCCUCAGGAGACAUAAUCUGACAAAUACACAAAGUUACCAUAUACGCACAGCAGAAAGAAUGUUCGUUAUUGCAAGAAUCUAGAGGACUUCCAUAGAGGACUUGUUUAAUAAAUUUUGAUAUACCUAUGCAAUGGAUUAUAUAGUUGCUGAAAAGGAUGAUAUGUAUCUGUAGUUCUUGAUAAUGAUCUUUACCACAUAUUGAGUUAAAACAUGUAUAUUAUUUCAUUCAUAUAAAAUGAUAUGUAUAAGCAUUUGCAUAGAGCAGCAUCUAGAAGGAUGUUCACCAAAAUGUUAGUAGUAAUUUCUCAGGGCAGUACUUUUUUCUUUAUGCCUGUUUGUUUUGACUGAUUUUUCUAUAAAUAUGUAUUACCUUUAUAUUAGGAAAUGCAAGGAAGCUGCAUUAGAAAAAAUUUUUAGAAAAAAUCACUGGAGGAGACUGUUCUUUCUACUUGGCAGAAAGAAGGGAGUUAGAUGCUAAUGUUUUAAAUUAUCUUCCAGUUCUACCGUUAAGGUCUUGCCAAUUGUUUGAGGCUGAUCGCGAAGAGUGGAGAUGUAUCCUUAUAUUUUUUACAAGGAUUUUUGCAACUGUCCUUAUUUGAAGAUUGGAAAUAAUCACGCAUUUCACACCAUUUCUAAUAAGACGGUGCCCUGCCCUACUUCAAGUGACUGCUUUGACAUUAGAUUUUUGUCAUCCCUUAACACAAUUCUGUCAUCACCAGGAAGUCCCUGUCUUACAAAGGUGGAAACAAAAUGUCAACCAAAGGGUCCAAAAAAACAAAAAAACAAAAAACCUCAAAACGCAGUCAAUAGAAACCAACUUUGAGAUAGGUUCAAAAAAAAUUAAAGGUAACUAACUAUUAAGUGGGCAGGUAGAAUCUUACUGGAGAAAUAGAAACUAUAAAAAAAAAAAAAACGGAGUGGAAAUUCUAGAA